GUCACUAAGGUUCAGGGCAGGGUACUGGGGGGAGGCUAGUAACAGUGACUAAGGUUCAGGGCAGGGUACUGGGGGGAGGCUAGUAACAGUGACUAAGGUUCAGGGCAGGGUACUGGGGGGAGGCUAGUAACAGUGACUAAGGUUCAGGGCAGGGUACUGGGGGGAGGCUAGUAACAGUGACUAAGGUUCAGGGCAGGGUACUGGGGGGAGGCUAGUAACAGUGACUAAGGUUCAGGGCAGGGUACUGGGGGGAGGCUAGUAACAGUGACUAAGGUUCAGGGCAGGGUACUGGGGGGAGGCUAGUAACAGUGACUAAGGUUCAGGGCAGGGUACUGGGGGGAGGCUAGUAACAGUGACUAAGGUUCAGGGCAGGGUACUGGGGGGAGGCUAGUAACAGUCACUAAGGUUCAGGGCAGGGUACUGGGGGGAGGCUAGUAACAGUGACUAAGGUUCAGGGCAGGGUACUGGGGGGAGGCUAGUAACAGUGACUAAGGUUCAGGGCAGGGUACUGGGGGGAGGCUAGUAACAGUGACUAAGGUUCAGGGCAGGGUACUGGGGGGAGGCUAGUAACAGUGACUAAGGUUCAGGGCAGGGUACUGGGGGGAGGCUAGUAACAGUCACUAAGGUUCAGGGCAGGGUACUGGGGGGAGGCUAGUAACAGUGACUAAGGUUCAGGGCAGGGUACUGGGGGGAG